GGGUCAGUAGGUUGGUCGUGCCACCGGUACGUACUGGUCUCACUGAUUCCUCCUUCCUGAACAACCGUAAUGCCAUUAAUUUGGUGUUGCGGGGAAACAGGACUGUUACUUUGAAAAAAUUAAAUUGUUUAAAGCAAGCUAACGCUUGAAUACAUUAGCAUGGAAUAAUGAAAUAGGACGAUCGAUCCUAUUUUGUUGGUUUCUAGGAUUGACGUA
rnacentral:rRNA from 1 species